rnacentral:rRNA from 1 species
CGCAAGCCUGACGGAACAACGCCGCGUGAGGGAUGAAGGCCUCUGGGCUGUAAACCUCUUUUAUCAAGGAAGAAGAUCUGACGGUACUUGAUGAAUAAGCCACGGCUAAUUCCGUGCCAGCAGCCGCGGUAAUACGGGAGUGGCAAGCGUUAUCCGGAAUUAUUGGGCGUAAAGCGUCCGCAGGCGGUUUUACAAGUCUGUCGUUAAAACGUGGAGCUCAACUCCAUUUCGGCGAUGGAAACUGUAAGACUAGAGUGUGGUAGGGGCAGAGGGAAUUCCCAGUGUAGCGGUGAAAUGCGUAGAUAUCGGGAAGAACACCAGUGGCGAAGGCGCUCUGCUGGGCCAUAACUGACGCUCAUGGACGAAAGCCAGGGGAGCG